AACGAACGCUGGCGGCGCGCUUAACACAUGCAAGUCGAACGAGAAGGCGUAGCAAUACGCUUGUACAGUGGCGAACGGGUGAGUAAUACGUGGGCGACCUGCCCUCGAGUGGGGAAUAACCCGCCGAAAGGCGGGCUAAUGCCGCGUACGCUUCCAUCUUUAUGGAGGUGGAAGGAAAGCCGUGCCGUGGGCACGGCGCUCAAGGAUGGGCUCACGUCCUAUCAGCUUGUUGGAGGGUAACGGCCUACCAAGGCUCCGACGGGUAGCUGGUCUGAGAGGACGAUCAGCCACACUGGCACUGCGACACGGGCCAGACUCCUACGGGAGGCAGCAGUGAGGAAUAUUGCGCAAUGGGCGAAAGCCUGACGCAGCGACGCCGCGUGGGGGAUGAAGGU
rnacentral:rRNA from 1 species